rnacentral:rRNA from 1 species
UACGUAGGGGGCGAGCGUUGUCCGGAUUUAUUGGGCGUAAAGAGCUCGUAGGCGGCUUGGCAAGUCGGGUGUGAAAUCCCUCGGCUCAACCAAGGACGUGCAUCCGAAACUGCAAAGCUUGAGUACAGAAGAGGAUCGCGGAAUUCCCGGUGUAGAGGUGAAAUUCGUAGAUAUCGGGAGGAACACCUAUGGCGAAGGCAGCUCGCUGGGACGUUACUGACGCUGAGACGCGAAAGCGUGGGGAGCAAACAGG